rnacentral:lncRNA from 1 species
UAGCCACCUCUCUCCGCCAGACACCCCAGCUGAACACCGGCCGAUGGACCAUCACUCCCUGACAGGCCAUAAUAAUGGCCACAAUCCUGCUCCACUUCCUGCGACGGAUUCCACGCGGCUCCAUCACCCCCUGGCAGGCCGCAGCAACAGCCACAACUCUGCUCCACCUCCUACGACAGAUUCCACGCGGCUCCAUCACUUCCUGGCAGGCCAUGAUAAUGGCCACAAUCCUGCUCCACUUCCUGCGACGGAUACCGCGCGAUUCUUCCAUUCUCUGGCGAAUCGCGACAACGGACGCCGCUCCGCUCCCCGCGACGGACUCCACGUGGCACGCCCCGGUGAUAGCCACGGGUC